GGAGUUAGCCGGUGCUUCUUCUGCGAGUAACGUCACAGAUGUAAGGUAUUAACUUACACCCUUUCCUCCUCGCUGAAAGUGCUUUACAACCCGAAGGCCUUCUUCACACACGCGGCAUGGCUGCAUCAGGGUUUCCCCCAUUGUGCAAUAUUCCCCACUGCUGCCUCCCGUAGGAGUCUGGGCCGUGUCUCAGUCCCAGUGUGGCUGAUCAUCCUCUCAGACCAGCUAGGGAUCGUCGCCUAGGUGAGCCUUUACCUCACCUACUAGCUAAUCCCACCUGGGCUUAUCCAUCAGCGCAAGGCCCGAAGGUCCCCUGCUUUCCCCCGUAGGGCGUAUGCGGUAUUAGCAGUCGUUUCCAACUGUUAUCCCCCACAAAUGGGCAAAUUCCCAGGCAUUACUCACCCGUCCGCCGCUCGUCAUCUUCAAAAGCAAGCUUUUGAAAUGUUACCGCUCGACUUGCAUGUGUUAGGCCUGCCGCCAGCGUCAAUCUGAGCAGAUACAAACUACUGA
rnacentral:rRNA from 1 species